rnacentral:rRNA from 1 species
UGGCGGCAGGCCUAACACAUGCAAGUCGAGCGGUAGAGAGAAGCUUGCUUCUCUUGAGAGCGGCGGACGGGUGAGUAAUGCCUAGGAAUCUGCCUGGUAGUGGGGGAUAACGUUCGGAAACGGACGCUAAUACCGCAUACGUCCUACGGGAGAAAGCAGGGGACCUUCGGGCCUUGCGCUAUCAGAUGAGCCUAGGUCGGAUUAGCUAGUUGGUGGGGUAAUGGCUCACCAAGGCGACGAUCCGUAACUGGUCUGAGAGGAUGAUCAGUCACACUGGAACUGAGACACGGUCCAGACUCCUACGGGAGGCAGCAGUGGGGAAUAUUGGACAAUGGGCGAAAGCCUGAUCCAGCCAUGCCGCGUGUGUGAAGAAGGUCUUCGGAUUGUAAAGCACUUUAAGUUGGGAGGAAGGGUUGUAGAUUAAUACUCUGCAAUUUUGACGUUACCGACAGAAUAAGCACCGGCUAACUCUGUGCCAGCAGCCGCGGUAAUACAGAGGGUGCAAGCGUUAAUCGGAAUUACUGGGCGUAAAGCGCGCGUAGGUGGUUAGUUAAGUUGGAUGUGAAAUCCCCGGGCUCAACCUGGGAACUGCAUUCAAAACUGACUGACUAGAGUAUGGUAGAGGGUGGUGGAAUUUCCUGUGUAGCGGUGAAAUGCGUAGAUAUAGGAAGGAACACCAGUGGCGAAGGCGACCACCUGGACUGAUACUGACACUGAGGUGCGAAAGCGUGGGGAGCAAAC